rnacentral:rRNA from 1 species
GUGGGGAAUCUUCCGCAAUGGACGAAAGUCUGACGGAGCAACGCCGCGUGAGUGAUGAAGGUCUUCGGAUUGUAAAGCUCUGUUAAUCGGGACGAAAGAGCCUAGUGUGAAUAAUGCUAGGAAGUGACGGUACCGGAAUAGAAAGCCACGGCUAACUACGUGCCAGCAGCCGCGGUAAUACGUAGGUGGCAAGCGUUGUCCGGAAUUAUUGGGCGUAAAGCGCGCGCAGGCGGAUCUGACAGUCUGUCUUAAAAGUUCGGGGCUUAACCCCGUGAUGGGAUGGAGACUACAGAUCUAGAGUAUCGGAGAGGAAAGUGGAAUUCCUAGUGUAGCGGUGAAAUGCGGAGAUAUUAGGAAGAACACCAGUGGCGAAGGCGACUUUCUGGACGAAAACUGACGCUGAGGCGCGAAAGCCAGGGGAGCGAACGGGAUUAGAAACCCCGGUAGUCC